rnacentral:rRNA from 1 species
AUUGAACGCUGGCGGCAUGCCUUACACAUGCAAGUCGAGCGCGAAAGGGGGCAACCCCGAGUAGAGCGGCGAACGGGUGAGUAACGCAUCGGAACGUACCCAGUAGUGGGGGACAACCUCGAGAAAUCGAGGCUAAUACCGCAUACGACCCACGGGUGAAAGCGGGGGAUCGCAAGACCUCGCGCGAUUGGAGUGGCCGAUAUCAGAUUAGGUAGUUGGUGGGGUAAAGGCCUACCAAGCCGACGAUCUGUAGCUGGUCUGAGAGGACGACCAGCCACACUGGGACUGAGACACGGCCCAGACUCCUACGGGAGGCAGCAGUGGGGAAUUUUGGACAAUGGGCGAAAGCCUGAUCCAGCCAUUCCGCGUGCAGGAAGAAGGCCUUCGGGUUGUAAACUGCUUUUGUACGGAACGAAACGCGCUGUGCUAAUACCACGGCGUAAUGACGGUACCGUAAGAAUAAGCACCGGCUAACUACGUGCCAGCAGCCGCCGUAAUAC